CUGUAGUAUAUAAAUGUUUGAAGAUAGCAACCCUGAACAGUUCAGUCUGUUUCAUAGAGCUUUGUGCAUCUUUAUAUUGGAAGAGUUUUUGAUUGGUUGUCUUCGUUAGCAACUGAAAGACAGUUACAAGGAAGAAAAGAAAGGAAAUGGAUAAACACAGUGGCAAGAGUUCAGGCGACUCCAAGGAGAAAAGGGGUGCAAAAGAGGAUGGUGGGAAGGUUGAAGGUUCUGGAGCUGCUAAAAGCGCUACUGGAAAACAUCCAGAAGAAACUCGACAAUGUGAUUCCAUCCUUGGCUCAAUUGGUAGUCAUAAAAAGUGAAUCAAACAUGAUGCGAAGAUUUCCUAUAGAGAUGGGUGUUGAAAAAAUCUGAAUUUCUUUUUAAUAAAUUGUCUUAACAUUCGUGGAUUAAAAUAAAGUAAAGAAGAGGAAUAGCACAUUAUACUUAUUAACAAACAGUUAACAUUUUCUUUCUAUUUUCUCUUACUAUUUUGAAUAAUUUGAAUAUUACAAAUAAAAUUUAACUCAAAUUUGUGCAAA